rnacentral:rRNA from 1 species
UGCCAGCCGCCGCGGUAAUACUGAAGGUGCAAGCGUUAAUCGGAAUUACUGGGCGUAAAGCGCGCGUAGGCGGCUUGUUAAGUCGGAUGUGAAAUCCCUGGGCUCAACCUGGGAAUUGCACUCGAUACUGGCAAGCUAGAGUAUAGGAGAGGGCUGUGGAAUUCCAUGUGUAGCGGUGAAAUGCGUAGAUAUCCGGAGGAACAUCAGUGGCGAAGGCGGCUGCCUGGCUCAAUACUGACACUGAGGUGCGAAAGCGUGGGGAGCAAACAGGAUUAGAUA